UUUAUCAACUGACUAAGACACACACGUGUCGACACGUCGUUCUGGGUGCCUGAAGGCGCAAGAUUUUGCGACAGCAGAAUCGUGCCACGGGUGGGACGAUGGGGCGCGUGGAGGCUUAAC
rnacentral:sRNA from 1 species